rnacentral:misc_RNA from 1 species
GAUGAAGAACGCAGUGAAAUGCGAUAAGUAAUGUGAAUUGCAGAAUUCAGUGAAUCAUCGAAUCUUUGAACGCACAUUGCGCCCGCCAGUAUUCUGGCGGGCAUGCCUGUUCGAGCGUCAUUUCAACCAUCAAGCCCCAGGCUUGUGUUGGGGACCUGCGGCUGCCGCAGGCCCUGAAAACCAGUGGCGGGCUCGCUAGUCACACCGAGCGUAGUAGCAUACACAUCGCUCAGGGCGUGCUGCGGGUUCCGGCCGUUAAACCCCUUUUUUACCCAAGGUUGACCUCGGAUCAGGUAGGAAGACCCGCUGAACUUAAGCAUAUCAAUAAGCGGAGGA